GCCGUGGUGGUGAAAUUGGUAGACAUGCCACUUUGAGGGGGUGGUGCCCGUAAGGGUGUGUGAGUUCGAGUCUCAUCCACGGUA
rnacentral:tRNA from 1 species